GAUCCUACGGGGGGCAGCAGUGGGGAAUAUUGCACAAUGGGCGCAAGCCUGAUGCAGCCAUGCCGCGUGUAUGAAGAAGGCCUUCGGGUUGUAAAGUACUUUCAGCGGGGAGGAAGGCGAUAAGGUUAAUAACCUUGUCGAUUGACGUUACCCGCAGAAGAAGCACCGGCUAAAUACGUGCCAGCAGCCGCGGUAAUACGUAUGGAGCGAGCGUUAUCCGGAUUUACUGGGCGUAAAGGGAGCGUAGGCGGCCUGCCAAGUCUGAUGUGAAAUACCGGGGCUCAACCCCGGGGCUGCAUUGGAAA
rnacentral:rRNA from 1 species